UACGUGAGGGGCUAACGUUGUUCGGUGUCACUGGGCUUAAAGGGUGCGUAGGUGGUUGCGUAAGUAACGUGUGAAAUCCCUCGGCUUACCCGGGGAAUUGCAUGUUAUACUGCGUGGCUUGAGGACUAAAGGGGAAAAGGGAACUCCAGGUGUAGCGGUGAAAUGCGCAGAUAUCUGGGGGAAGGCCGGCGGCGAAGGCGCUUUUCUGGUUAGAUCCUGACACUGAGGCACGAAAGCGUGGGGAGCAAACAGG
rnacentral:rRNA from 1 species